rnacentral:misc_RNA from 1 species
GAUGAAGAACGCAGCGAAAUGCGAUAAGUAAUGUGAAUUGCAGAAUUCAGUGAAUCAUCGAAUCUUUGAACGCACCUUGCGCCCUUUGGCCAUUCCGAAGGGCAUGCCUGUUUGAGUAUCAUGAACACCUCAACUCUUCAUGGUUUUCCAUGAUGAGCUUGGACUUUGGGGGUCUUGCUGGCCUGUGGGUCGGCUCCUCUCAAAUGAAUCAGCUUGCCGGUUUUUGGUGGGCAUCACAGGUGUGAUAACUAUCUACGCUUGUGGUUUUCCACCAGGGUAACCUUCAGCAGUGGAGGUUCACUGGAGCUUACAAAUGUCUCUCCUCUGUGAGGACAGCCCUUUGAAUGUUUGAUCUCAAAUCAGGUAGGACUACCCGCUGAACUUAAGCAUAUCAUAAGCGGAGGA